GCCGCCUUAGCUCAGCUGGUUAGAGCGCUGGUUUGUGGAACCAGAGGUCCCCAGUUCAAACCUGGGAGGCGGUACCA
rnacentral:tRNA from 1 species